GCUGUGUCUGUGCAAGCUUGGCUCAAGCCCAUUGUUUCCAAAAGCAGUCAGGCACCAGUGCAAUUGUCAGUCACUGCUGAUGCUGGUUAUGUGCCUUUUGAAAAUCCCGCCAAGGACGCUCACUUCAAUUUACUCAGCUGUAAUUAGAGGUCAGCCCUGCACACACUGGAGCCCUCCUGUUGAACUGCUCUCAGCAAAAGAUCCACACUACUGUGAUGAGGGGAGCAAAAAUUAAUUCUAUAUAUUGGAAACUGAAAAGUGAAGCCACUGAAAGCUACUUAAUUUAACCCAAAAUCUAGUAACCAGUAGCUGCAACCCUUGUCCUCAUCUGAAAGAGAUUUGCCACUUACUGUAAUGAAGACAAAAAACAUCUUUUACUGCUUUCGUUGCCUGCAGUCCAACACAUUGUGAAGAGCUUGAUCAUAGAGCAGAAGCGUAUUUUCUAUUCCAUUUGCAUCAGUGAAAUAACUGUUCUUUCCUCGGAUUAAAGCACAGCACAGGAGGUCAAAGGUCAUGCUUUGACCUUUCGUUUGACUGGUCUCCAUAAAAGAACAUAACCAUCGAGCUGGAAAUCCCCUCCUCAACGUUUCUCGGUCCCCCGUGGGUCGCUGCGGCCGCCUCCUUCACGCAGGCGGGUGCCCGGUGCUGGCCAUGGUGCUGAAGCGCCUCUGCCGCCCUGCCAGCAUCCCAAACCUCCGCGGGAUGGCUUCUUCGGGAUUGCUUCUUGCGAUCAGCCUCUACAGGGACAAAGUGCAAAGGGAUGGUUACUACUGGACAGAAUUUAGAUAUCGCUCCGAGUUUCACCCUGUGGUAAUCAGGAGAUGGCUACAGCUACCCGAUACCACAGCGCGACUGGGAGCAAAGUGGAUUCAGAUGUCAGGGUCUGUUACACUCAGCACAAAGCUGCUCUGUGUAAAGAAUGCUGUAAAAUAAAACACUUAUAAAAUACUAUUUUGUGGUUUUGUUU
rnacentral:lncRNA from 1 species